UACAGAGGUCUCAAGCGUUGUUCGGAUUCAUUGGGCGUAAAGGGUGCGUAGGCGGCGUGGUAAGUCGGGUGUGAAAUCUCGGGAGCUUAACUCCGAAACUGCAUUCGAUACUGCCGUGCUUGAGGACUGGAGAGGAGACUGGAAUUACGGUGUAGCGGUGAAAUGCGUAGAUAUCGUAAGGAACACCAGUGGCAAAGGCGACUACCUGGCCGUGUUCUUGACGCUGAGGCGCGAAAGCUAGGGGAGCAAACGGG
rnacentral:rRNA from 1 species